rnacentral:tRNA from 1 species
GGGUUGGUAACUUAAUGGUAGAGUACUCGGCUUUUAAUCGAAUAGUUCUGGGUUCGAAUCCCAGCCAUCCCA